CAAAUAUCUUGAACCAUCCUGGACAUAUUCAGGUUGAUUACGACUUGUGAUGUCCGAGUUCGAAAUGUAAUAAAUUCGAACUUUCAGCUCUGAAGUGAGUUAAAAUAGUUCGAACAUACAUUCAAUCCGAACUAUUUAACGUUCGAACUUGAGAUUCGAACUCAGAUAGAAAUAAAAA